rnacentral:rRNA from 1 species
GAUGAACGCUAGCUACAGGCUUAACACAUGCAAGUCGAGGGGCAGCAUGAACUUAGCUUGCUAAGUUUGAUGGCGACCGGCGCACGGGUGAGUAACACGUAUCCAACCUGCCGAUGACUCGGGGAUAGCCUUUCGAAAGAAAGAUUAAUACCCGAUGGCAUAGUUCUUCCGCAUGGUAGGACUAUUAAAGAAUUUCGGUCAUCGAUGGGGAUGCGUUCCAUUAGCUUGUUGGCGGGGUAACGGCCCACCAAGGCAUCGAUGGAUAGGGGUUCUGAGAGGAAGGUCCCCCACAUUGGGACUGAGACACGGCCCAA